rnacentral:sRNA from 1 species
UUAAAACAAUGGAGACUAAGUCUUCUUUAUCUACAGAACAGGUAUAGCACAGGCAACAGCUGUUUAAAAGUACCUCACCCACUAAUACGCAUCAAGCCUGAUCUCUGAAGAGUUCCUUAUAGUUUGUUUUCCAUUAAAGAGGUGGGGAAGUAUAAGAAUAAUCACAAGAAUUUGCUCUCUGAAUCAU